rnacentral:rRNA from 1 species
AAUAACUAGUAAUAAUUUAAUUAAUUUAACACGAAAUAAUUUGAGCUAAUUGUAUAUUAAUAUUAGUUUUUUAUUUGAUUGUUUCAAUAAUCAAAAACAAUGACCAAUUAGGGGUGAUAGGCCUAUCAAAAAUUAGGAUAACUUGAAGUAUAUGAAAAAUAUUUAGUAUUUAGAUAACUAUAGAAUGUUUAGGUUCUUUAGUACCAUAAUAUAUUUUACAUUACAUGUAAAUUUUAUAAAUAAAAUUACAUAAAAAGAAUUAAUAUUCUAUUAUAAGAAUAUAUGGAAAAUAAUAUACUAUAAUUUAAAAUAAAUGCAAAAAUCAUAAAUAAUGUUACUAUUAGUAGUAAGUAAUAAUUAUCAAAGGAACUCGGCAAAAAAAAUUUUCAACUGUUUAACAAAAACAUAGUCUUUAGAUUUUUAUUAAAGGUGAGCCCUGCUCAAUGGGUUACUAAAUAGCCGCAGUACCUUGACUGUGCAAAGGUAGCAUAAUCAAUUGGCUUAUAAUUGAAGUCUAGUAUGAAUGGGUCUAUGGAAAAUAGCUGUCUUUUUUAAUUAGGUCGAAUUUACUUAGAAAGUGAAAAUACUUUCAGAUAUAUAAUAGACGAGAAGACCCUAGAAAUUUUUUAUUAUAUUUUGCUGGGGCGGCAGGAUAACAAAAAACUUAUCUAUAUUUUAUAUGAAUCAAUUUUGAUGAAUACAAAAAUUACUCUAGGGAUAACAGCAUAAUAUAAAAAAGUUUAUGACCUCGAUGUUGGACUAGGAAAUUAAAUAUUUAGAAGGUAUUUAAAUUUGCUCUGUUCGAGCAGUUAUCCCUACAUGAUCUGAGUUCAGACCGG